AUGUGUGAAAGUUUUCAAGACGCCCACGAGUGGAAAAUGUACUCCCCCCAGCCAAAUCAAACUCUGCCAGAUUCCUUACAGCUGUGUGCCGUUGAAAUGACUAAUGAAAGCACCUUUUGCUGCUGGUGGAACUUUCACAUCGGGCUCUGCUACUGCUGUUCACCAGGACCCGACCCCACGUAUUUACAUACUGGAUGUCACCCCAAAAGCCCCCGACCAGGGGAUUUCCGGGAUGUAAUAAGAAUGUCGCUCUGGGCCUUGGAAGGUGCAGUGUCUGAGCACUUGUCCUACAGGAAAUGGGGGGCAGCAUUUCGGACCCCACCACUCCCUCACCAGGCUCUCCUCCUGGGGAGAUGUCCAAUUCAGUCACAGGCCCAUUGGUGGCAGGACACUGCUUGCCUGCCAGGUAUGGAGGUGCUGGGAAUAUCAACACGAGGAAUUCAGGGACCCUAUACAGCAGGAGCUCGGGUCCCUGGCUAAGUAAGGCAAGAGACACAAACAGUCUGAGAAGUUCAAUCCAAAAUGUGAGUGCAAAGGGGGAUGCCUAACUUAAGAAUGGCCAGGGGAGGAUUCCUAGGGUUUGUAAUGAGUGAGCUGUCUUCAGAAAUUUUUAGUCUUUUUUUCUUAAAAGUUAGAAUAUCUAGUUACAAAGGUAAUACAUCCCAUUGAAAAGAAUUUAAACUUCAUAGAAAUAUGUUCCCUUAGAAAAAAGUGUAGGGAACAAAAAAGAAGAAAGAAUACUUGAUUGGUAGGAUUUCUACUCAGUUCGUGCUGUGGCUUUCUUCCUGAAAAUUUGUUUGUGUGUGUGUGUGUGUGUGUCUGUGUGUGUCUGUGUAAGGGGGUGGAGUAGUGCCCAAAAGAGGGAGGCAAAGACUCUAGGGUCAGCCUGGUCCCUGUGGCCACAACCAGCCUGAGUGAGAAAUCAGCCAGCCACUUACCAGGUACCCACUUGCUAUGGAACUCUGGUUUUUCUGACUUGAUAUUCUAGGUUUGAAUCUUGACUUUUUCUGUCCUAUAACUUCAGAGUCUUGUCUCUGCCCACUCUCCAAAAGGUAUACCAGGGUAUUUUUCUACGUGAAAUGAAUCUCUCCCUAAAAAGAAUAAGACCUGGUUUAAGAUGUCAAUACUUAACUUGUUACAGUGCCAGUAAGAGCUCA
rnacentral:lncRNA from 12 species